UGAGAAAUCUGACACCAUGUUUGUUCUUUGACAGCGCAACAUGAAAGUUUAAACACAUGUUUGUAAAUGUAGAUCGUCCAGCCUUGCGACAUGGGAUUUGGAGAGAUAAAAGGAUCACCAAGAAGCUGUGCUAACCAUCGGUUAAGGCUCUCCGGAUGUAGACAUCUAUAGAAAGUAUAUGACAUUAAAAGACAGUAGCUAUAAAUUCUUCGUCA